CCAAGUUUUUAAGGGCGCACGGUGGAUGCCUUGGCACCAGGAACCGAUGAAGGACGUGGGAGGCCACGAUAGUCCCCGGGGAGUCGUCAACCAGGCUUUGAUCCGGGGGUUUCCGAAUGGGGAAACCCGGCAGUCGUCAUGGGCUGUCACCCGCUGCUGAACACAUAGGCAGUGUGGAGGGAACGCGGGGAAGUGAAACAUCUCAGUACCCGCAGGAAGAGAAAACAACCGUGAUUCCGGGAGUAGUGGCGAGCGAAACCGGAUGAGGCCAAACCGUAUGCGUGUGAGACCCGGCAGGGGUUGCGUAUACGGGGUUGUGGGAUCUCUCUUUCACGGUCUGCCGGCUGUGAGACGAGUCAGAAACCGUUGAUGUAGGCGAAGGACAUGCGAAAGGUCCGGCGUAGAGGGUAAGACCCCCGUAGUCGAAACGUCAGCGGCUCGUUUGAGAGACACCCAAGUAGCACGGGGCCCGAGAAAUCCCGUGUGAAUCUGGCGGGACCACCCGCUAAGCCUAAAUAUUCCCUGGUGACCGAUAGCGGAUAGUACCGUGAGGGAAUGGUGAAAAGUACCCCGGGAGGGGAGUGAAAUAGUACCUGAAACCGUGUGCCUACAAGCCGUGGGAGCGUCGGAACAAGGCUUGCCUUGUUCUCGUGACUGCGUGCCUUUUGAAGAAUGAGCCUGCGAGUUUGCGGUGUGUUGCGAGGUUAACCCGGGUGGGGAAGCCGUAGCGAAAGCGAGUCCGAAUAGGGCGCUGUAGUAGCACGCUCAAGACCCGAAGCGGAGUGAUCUAGCCAUGGGCAGGUUGAAGCGGAGGUAAGACUUCGUGGAGGACCGAACCCACCAGGGUUGAAAACCUGGGGGAUGACCUGUGGUUAGGGGUGAAAGGCCAAUCAAACUCCGUGAUAGCUGGUUCUCCCCGAAAUGCAUUUAGGUGCAGCGUCGUGUGUUUCUUGCCGGAGGUAGAGCACUGGAUAGGCGAUGGGCCCUACCGGGUUACUGACCUUAGCCAAACUCCGAAUGCCGGUAAGUGAGAGCGCGGCAGUGAGACUGUGGGGGAUAAGCUCCAUGGUCGAGAGGGAAACAGCCCAGAGCAUCGACUAAGGCCCCUAAGCGUACGCUAAGUGGGAAAGGAUGUGGAGUCGCACAGACAACCAGGAGGUUGGCUUAGAAGCAGCCACCCUUGAAAGAGUGCGUAAUAGCUCACUGGUCUAGUGAUUCCGCGCCGACAAUGUAGCGGGGCUCAAGCGUACCGCCGAAGUCGUGUCAUUCACACAAUAGCCCCAACGGGUGUGUGGAUGGGUAGGGGAGCGUCGUCUGCCGGGUGAAGCAGCCGUGUAAGCGAGUUGUGGACGGUUGACGAGUGAGAAUGCAGGCAUGAGUAGCGAUUCACACGUGAGAAACGUGUGCGCCGAUUGACUAAGGGUUCCUGGGUCAAGCUGAUCUGCCCAGGGUAAGUCGGGACCUAAGGCGAGGCCGACAGGCGUAGUCGAUGGAUAACCGGUUGAUAUUCCGGUACCCGCUGUGAAGCGUCAAACAUCGAGCAUCGUGAUGCUAAGGCCGUGAAGCCGCCCCUGAUCUCUUCGGAGUGAGGGGGAGUGGUGGAGCCGCUGAACCAAGCGGUUAGUAGGUGAGUGAUGGGGUGACGCAGGAAGGUAGUCCAGCCCGGGCGGUGGUUGUCCCGGGGUAAGGGUGUAGCCCGUCAUCUAGGUAAAUCCGGAUGACAUGUGGGUGAGACCUGAUGCCGAGCCGAUUGUGGUGAAGUGGAUGAUCCUAUGCUGUCGAGAAAAGCCUCUAGCGAGUUUCAUGGCGGCCCGUACCCUAAACCGACUCAGGUGGUCAGGUAGAGAAUACCGAGGCGUUCGGGUGAACUAUGGUUAAGGAACUCGGCAAAAUGCCCCCGUAACUUCGGGAGAAGGGGGGCCACAUCUGGUGAUGAGCUUCGCGCUCUGAGCUGGGGGUGGCCGCAGAGACCAGCGAGAAGCGACUGUUUACUAAAAACACAGGUCCGUGCGAAGCCGUAAGGCGAUGUAUACGGACUGACGCCUGCCCGGUGCUGGAACGUUAAGGGGACCGGUUAGCUCCAUUUCGGUGGGGCGAAGCUGAGAACUUAAGCGCCAGUAAACGGCGGUGGUAACUAUAACCAUCCUAAGGUAGCGAAAUUCCUUGUCGGGUAAGUUCCGACCUGCACGAAUGGCGUAACGACUUCUCGACUGUCUCAACCAUAGGCCCGGUGAAAUUGCACUACGAGUAAAGAUGCUCGUUUCGCGCAGCAGGACGGAAAGACCCCGGGACCUUUACUACAGUUUGAUAUUGGUGUUCGGUUCGGCUUGUGUAGGAUAGCUGGGAGACUGUGAAGCGCUAACGCCAGUUAGUGUGGAGUCGUCGUUGAAAUACCAGUCUGGUCGUGCUGGAUGUCUAACCUGGGUCCGUGAUCCGGAUCAGGGACAGUGUCUGAUGGGUAGUUUAACUGGGGCGGUUGCCUCCUAAAGGGUAACGGAGGCGCCCAAAGGUUCCCUCAGCCUGGUUGGCAAUCAGGUGUUGAGUGUAAGUGCACAAGGGAGCUUGACUGUGAGACCGACGGGUCGAGCAGGGACGAAAGUCGGGACUAGUGAUCCGGCGGUGGCUUGUGGAAGCGCCGUCGCUCAACGGAUAAAAGGUACCCCGGGGAUAACAGGCUGAUCUUCCCCAAGAGUCCAUAUCGACGGGAUGGUUUGGCACCUCGAUGUCGGCUCGUCGCAUCCUGGGGCUGGAGUCGGUCCCAAGGGUUGGGCUGUUCGCCCAUUAAAGCGGUACGCGAGCUGGGUUUAGAACGUCGUGAGACAGUUCGGUCCCUAUCCGCUGUGCGCGUAGGAGUCUUGAGAAGGGCUGUCCCUAGUACGAGAGGACCGGGACGGACGAACCUCUGGUGUGCCAGUUGUUCUGCCAAGGGCAUGGCUGGUUGGCUACGUUCGGGAGGGAUAACCGCUGAAAGCAUCUAAGCGGGAAGCCUGCUUCGAGAUGAGGACUCCCACCCACUUGAUGGGGUAAGGCUCCCAGUAGACGACUGGGUUGAUAGGCCGGAUCUGGAAGCACGGUAACGUGUGGAGGUGACCAGUACUAAUAGGCCGAGGGCUUGUCCUC
rnacentral:rRNA from 1 species